rnacentral:rRNA from 1 species
UGCAAGUCGAGCGGACAGAUGGGAGCUUGCUCCCUGAUGUUAGCGGCGGACGGGUGAGUAACACGUGGGUAACCUGCCUGUAAGACUGGGAUAACUCCGGGAAACCGGGGCUAAUACCGGAUGGUUGUUUGAACCGCAUGGUUCAGACAUAAAAGGUGGCUUCGGCUACCACUUACAGAUGGACCCGCGGCGCAUUAGCUAGUUGGUGAGGUAACGGCUCACCAAGGCGACGAUGCGUAGCCGACCUGAGAGGGUGAUCGGCCACACUGGGACUGAGACACGGCCCAGACUCCUACGGGAGGCAGCAGUAGGGAAUCUUCCGCAAUGGACGAAAGUCUGACGGAGCAACGCCGCGUGAGUGAUGAAGGUUUUCGGAUCGUAAAGCUCUGUUGUUAGGGAAGAACAAGUGCCGUUCAAAUAGGGCGGCACCUUGACGGUACCUAACCAGAAAGCCACGGCUAACUACGUGCCAGCAGCCGCGGUAAUACGUAGGUGGCAAGCGUUGUCCGGAAUUAUUGGGCGUAAAGGGCUCGCAGGCGGUUUCUUAAGUCUGAUGUGAAAGCCCCCGGCUCAACCGGGGAGGGUCAUUGGAAACUGGGGAACUUGAGUGCAGAAGAGGAGAGUGGAAUUCCACGUGUAGCGGUGAAAUGCGUAGAGAUGUGGAGGAACACCAGUGGCGAAGGCGACUCUCUGGUCUGUAACUGACGCUGAGGAGCGAAAGCGUGGGGAGCGAACAGGAUUAGAUACCCUGGUAGUCCACGCCGUAAACGAUGAGUGCUAAGUG